UAGGGAAUCUUCCGCAAUGGACGAAAGUCUGACGGAGCAACGCCGCGUGAGCGAAGAAGGCCUUCGGGUCGUAAAGCUCUGUUGUCAGGGAAGAACAAGUACCGGAGUAACUGCCGGUACCUUGACGGUACCUGACGAGAAAGCCACGGCUAACUACGUGCCAGCAGCCGCGGUAAUACGUAGGUGGCAAGCGUUGUCCGGAAUUAUUGGGCGUAAAGCGCGCGCAGGCGGUCCUUUAAGUCUGAUGUGAAAGCCCCCGGCUCAACCGGGGAGGGUCAUUGGAAACUGGGGGACUUGAGUGCAGGAGAGGGAAGUGGAAUUCCACGUGUAGCGGUGAAAUGCGUAGAGAUGUGGAGGAACACCAGUGGCGAAGGCGGCUCUCUGGUCUGUAACUGACGCUGAGGAGCGAAAGCGUGGGGAGCAAACAGGAUUAGAUACCCUGGUAGUCCACGCCGUAAACGAUGAGUGCUAGGUGUUAGGGGGUUUCCGCCCCUUAGUGCUGCAGUUAACGCAUUAAGCACUCCGCCUGGGGAGUACGGCCGCAAGGCUGA
rnacentral:rRNA from 1 species